UACGGAGGGUGCAAGCGUUAUCCGGAAUCAUUGGGUUUAAAGGGUCCGUAGGCGGAUUAAUAAGUCAGAGGUGAAAUCCCACAGCUUAACUGUGGAACUGCCUUUGAUACUGUUAGUCUUGAGUUAUAUGGAAGUAGAUAGAAUGUGUAGUGUAGCGGUGAAAUGCAUAGAUAUUACACAGAAUACCGAUUGCGAAGGCAGUCUACUACGUAUAUACUGACGCUAAUGGACGAAAGCGUGGGGAGCGAAC
rnacentral:rRNA from 1 species